rnacentral:rRNA from 1 species
CAUACAGCUCAUUAACACGUGGCUAACCUGCCCUUAAGACGGAAAUACCCCCGGGAAACUGGGGCUAAUCCCCGAUAGGUGAAGAACUCUGGAAUGAGUCUUCGCCCAAAGGGCGUCAGAUCAUGCUUCUGGCGUUGCCUAAGGAUGGGGCCGCGACCGAUCAGGCUGUUGGUGAGGUAAUGGCCCACCAAACCUAUAACCGGUGCGGGCCGUGAGAGCGGGAGCCCGGAGAUGGGCACUGAGACAAGGGCCCAGGUCCUACGGGGCGCAGCAGUCGCGAAACCUUUGCAAUACACGCAAGUGUGACAGGGUCAUCCCGAGUGCCGACCGCUGAGGUUGGCUUUUACCCAGUCUAGAAAGCUGGGGGAAUAAGGAGAGGGCAAGUCUGGUGUCAGCCGCCGCGGUAAUACCAGCUCUCCGAGUGGUGUGGACGUUUAUUGGGCCUAAAGCAUCCGUAGCUGGCUGAACAAGUCCCCUGUUAAACCCACCGAUUUAAUCGUUGGUCUGCGGGGGAUACUGCUCGGCUAGGGGACGAGAGAGGCAGACGGUAUUCCCGGGGUAGGGGUGAAAUCCUAUAAUCCCGAGAAGACCACCAGUGGCGAAGGCUGUCUGCUAGAACGCGCCCGACGGUGAGGGAUGAAAGCUGGGGGAGCGAACC